UACGUAGGGUGCAAGCGUUAAUCGGAAUUACUGGGCGUAAAGCGUGCGCAGGCGGUUUGGUAAGACAGAUGUGAAAUCCCCGGGCUUAACCUGGGAAUUGCAUUUGUGACUGCCCGGCUAGAGUGUGUCAGAGGGGGGUAGAAUUCCACGUGUAGCAGUGAAAUGCGUAGAUAUGUGGAGGAAUACCGAUGGCGAAGGCAGCCCCCCUGGGAUAACACUGACGCUCAUGCACGAAAGCGUGGGGAGCAAACAGG
rnacentral:rRNA from 1 species